AGAGUUUGAUCCUGGCUCAGAACGAACGCUGGCGGCAGGCCUAACACAUGCAAGUCGAACGCCCCGCAAGGGGAGUGGCAGACGGGUGAGUAACGCGUGGGAACCUUCCCUUUGGUACGGAAUAAUUCACCGAAAGGUGGACUAAUACCGCAUACGCCCGAAAGGGGAAAGAUUUAUCGCCAAAGGAUGGGCCUGCGUAGGAUUAGCUAGUUGGUGAGGUAAUGGCUCACCAAGGCGACGAUCCUUAGCUGGUCUGAGAGGAUGAUCAGCCACACUGGGACUGAGACACGGCCCAGACUCCUACGGGAGGCAGCAGUGGGGAAUAUUGGACAAUGGGCGCAAGCCUGAUCCAGCCAUGCCGCGUGAGUGAUGAAGGCCUUCGGGUUGUAAAGCUCUUUUGGCGGGGACGAUAAUGACGGUACCCGCAGAAUAAGCCCCGGCUAACUUCGUGCCAGCAGCCGCGGUAAU
rnacentral:rRNA from 1 species